rnacentral:rRNA from 1 species
GAUGAACGCUGGCGGCGUGCUUAACACAUGCAAGUCGAACGAUGAUCCCCAGCUUGCUGGGGGGAUUAGUGGCGAACGGGUGAGUAACACGUGAGUAACCUGCCCUUGACUCUGGGAUAAGCCUGGGAAACUGGGUCUAAUACCGGAUAUGACCUUCCAUCGCAUGGUGGUUGGUGGCAAGCUUUUGUGGUUUUGGAUGGACUCGCGGCCUAUCAGCUUGUUGGUGGGGUAAUGGCCUACCAAGGCGACGACGGGUAGCCGGCCUGAGAGGGUGACCGGCCACACUUGGACUGAGACACGGCCCAGACUCCUACGGGAGGCAGCAGUGGGAAAUAUUGCACAAUGGGCGCAAGCCGGAUGCAGCGACGCCGCGUGAGGGAUGACGGCCUUCGGGUUGUAAACCUCUUUCAGUAGGGAAGAAGCGAAAGUGACGGUACCUGCAGAAGAAGCGCCGGCUAACUACGUGCCAGCCGCCGCCGUAA